GUAGCGGAACACUGAUCAACAUGUAAAAGCCACCAAACACAUGAAAGAAAUUACAGUACAUCACACAUCAAACAUUUUGGCCUGGUGCUUCCUUCCUCUAAUCCUACUGGCAGGAAAUGCUCUACAUAUCCUUUGAGGUGACCAGACACAUUUAAAAGUAGUCCCUGGUUAAAAAAGCUCUUUGGCUACUGCAGUUUUCUCCAAAGAGGAGAGCGCCUUCCGCUCAGCACUGCUCCCUUCACUUCCACUUGAAGCACCUCAAAGGAGCUCCGCUGAUGAGAAAAAUCAUUGAAUGGAAAUGAAGAAUACUUUUUCCCUGUUCCUUCCUGUGAAACCUGUCUGGAUGGAACUUCCGGAAUCAUUCUUUCCUCAUAUCAUAAUUUUCAGAAGAUGUACAGACUUAAUGCCGAUGAAAUUGCUGCAAGAUCGAAGAUAAGAAAAUAAACUUACUGGUAAAUAUCUUUCCUGAGGACAGUUCUGCCAAGGGGAUUGUCAGCUUGGGGAGCCAUAGCAACAGAGCCAAUCUUCAAAACCAUGGUGUCUUCUUUUGCUGCCUGAUUAACUGUAAUAAAAGAAAUCGAUUCAUGAGAUGAUGCCAUUGUAGUAGCUGUUCAAAAAUUGUUUAAAAUUGCUAACAAUAUACAACUUUGUGGCUUUUGAAGAAAACAGAUACUCAAACUCAUCGUUUUUCCCAAGAAACUAUCAUCUGCCACAAAUGGAACAGAACAGGACUGGCUGCAAGACCUCGGGAAUAUCCUGAACAGAACACGCCUACAAAGGCAUACAAUCCAUAUUUCCCAAACUGUGGUGCCCAAAGAAUGCAAAAGCUAAGAGAUUAUUUCCAGCUGCUUCAGCAGUACACUCAGUAUGGUCUGACUUAGAUUAGACUAAAAAAGAAAGUCAGAAUUAAGAAAAUCAGAAAAAGUUAGAAGAAAGAUACUCAGGAAAAGAAGGAACCAGGAAAAGAUGUACAUAAAGGGAAGGGCAAAACAGCUGGGAGGUGGGGGUCACAAGGACAGAAAAAGGGGGAAAAAGAGAUGAGCUAUCAUAAUAAAUAUUAGCAUGUGGAUGGUGCAAUAAAGACAGUACUUUUAAAUGUCCACAGCAAAAAAGAUCAAAUAGAAAACGGCUUCUCAUGCAGCUGUACUCUUUUCAAAUGACUAGAGGUCUGGUUUGAUUAUAGGUCCUUAUACUAUGAACAUUGUUUACAUUUCACAGAUCUUGCAUUUUAUGCCAAGCUUAUCAAAUAGUUCCAUGUGGGGAAAACCUCUGAUUAAGCAGCAGGCAUCAAUUAAAUCAAUAAAUAGUAAGUCUAGAGAAUAGACCAUACCACAAAAGUGCAAUUAGUAUACUUGCUAACUGUUCUUCCAGGCUACAGAUACUACUCACCAUAUGAAAGUCUGAAAUGUAAUAGAAACACUGCAGUAAAUGAGGUACAUAUGGAAGAAAAAUGACGUACUUGGUGUUACAUACAAAGCCAGAUCCAAGAACAGAAUUCUGUUUCUGUUAGAGCCAAAAGUGUUCUCACUAGAUUAUACUGACUAUAAAGUUUUAAUAAUAAAGAAAAGCACUGAAUGCAGAUCAUUCACAAACUAAAUAAAAAUAAUCAAUUUUAUUAUAGAAAGUAUUUAGCUUAUCAAAA